UACGAGGGGGGCGAGCGUUGUUCGGAAUUAUUGGGCGUAAAGGGUGCGUAGGCGGUCUGGUAAGUCUUGUGUGAAAACUUGGGGCUUAACUCCAAGCGUGCGGGCGAUACGGGCAGACUUGAGUACUACAGGGGAGACUGGAAUUCCUGGUGUAGCGGUGAAAUGCGCAGAUAUCAGGAGGAACACCGGUGGCGAAGGCGGGUCUCUGGGUAGUAACUGACGCUGAGGAACGAAAGCGUGGGUAGCGAACAGG
rnacentral:rRNA from 1 species